AUAUGAUGACCAGGUUGUCAACAGAUGGUCUCAGACACAGGGACAGUGCCUCCGAGAUGCCUUCCCAGGCCCCCCCACAAGACAGGACCGAAGAAGAAA